CGGCGGACGGGUGAGUAAUGUAUGGGGAUCUGCCUGAUGGCGGGGGAUAACUACUGGAAACGGUAGCUAAUACCGCAUAAUGUCUACGGACCAAAGCGGGGGACCUCCGGGCCUCGCGCCGUCAGAUGAACCCAUAUGGGAUUAGCUAGUAGGUAAGGUAACGGCUUACCUAGGCGACGAUCCCUAGCUGGUCUGAGAGGAUGAUCAGCCACACUGGGACUGAGACACGGCCCAG
rnacentral:rRNA from 1 species